rnacentral:rRNA from 1 species
UACGUAGGAGGCAAGCGUUGUCCGGAGUUACUGGGCGUAAAGCGCACGCAGGCGGUCUUGUCAGUCUGUAGGGACAGGGCACAGCUCAACUGUGUCAGGCUUACGGAAACUGCAAGACUUGAGGGCUUCAGAGGGAUGGGGAAUUCCGGGUGGAGUGGUGAAAUGCGUAGAGAUCCGGAAGAACACCAAAAGGCGAAGGCACCAUCCUGGGGGAGUCAC